GACGAACGCUGGCGGCGUGCUUAACACAUGCAAGCCGAACGGUAAGGCCCUUCGGGGUACACGAGUGGCGAACGGGUGAGUAACACGUGGGUGAUCUGCCCUGCACUUCGGGAUAAGCCUGGGAAACUGGGUCUAAUACCGGAUAGGACCACUGCCUGCAUGGGUGGUGGUGGAAAGCUUUUGCGGUGUGGGAUGGGCCCGCGGCCUAUCAGCUUGUUGGUGGGGUGAUGGCCUACCAAGGCGACGGCGGGUAGCCGGCCUGGGCGGGUGACCGGCCACACUGGGACUGAGAUACGGCCCAGACUCCGACGGGAGGCAGCAGUGGGGAAUAUUGCACAAUGGGCGCAAGCCUGAUGCAGCGACGCCGCGUGAGGGAUGACGGCCUUCGGGUUGUAAACCUCUUUCAGCACCGACGAAGCGCAAGUGACGGUAGGUGCAGAAGAAGGACCGGCCAACUACGUGCCAGCAGCCGCAGUAA
rnacentral:rRNA from 1 species